UUUCCGUAGGUGAACCUGCGGAAGGAUCAUUAAAAGAAUUAUCUCGUAGAGAUUAUUUCUAUUUGUGAUUUAAGCGAAAACAAUAUGAAUUUGGGGGGGGAUUAAACAAUGGGGCCUUUUCUAUGCGAGAGCAAAUGGAAGGAACCGGCCCCCCCCCCCCAAUUCAAUGCCAAAAAUAUCCAUCUUCUUUUCAAUUUGACUGAUACAAUUUAUUUAUAUUUAUGGAUAAUUCAUAAAAUAACUUUCAACAACGGAUCUCUUGGUUCUC
rnacentral:misc_RNA from 1 species